GCAAGAAGACGAGAAAGCAAACAACGCCGCACAAGACGACGAACAACAAACCACCACACUUAGAUGAUGAAAUCACAAAGAAAAAAACCUAGAUCUAUGUGAAAGUCACUUAUUUAGAUUGAAAUAGAGAGAAAAAGAUGAAGAGGGGUGAUUUCAGGUCAAGAAUUAACCCAAAACCACCCCCCAAUGAAGAAACGGGAAGAGAAAACCUAAAGAGAGAAAAU
rnacentral:lncRNA from 1 species